rnacentral:rRNA from 1 species
AUUGAACGCUAGCGGGAUGCUUUACACAUGCAAGUCGAACGAGUGGCGGAAGGGUGAGUAAUAUAUCGGAACGUGCCCAGUAGCGGGGGAUAACUAAUCGAAAGAGUGGCUAAUAACGCAUACUUUUGGCGCGGCCGAUAUCGGAUGAGCUAGUUGGUGGGGUAAAGGCUAAACAAGGACAAACUCCGUAGCUGGUUUGAGAGGACGACCAGCCACACUGUGACUGAGACACGGCCCAGACUCCUACGGGAGGCAGCAGUGGGGAAUUUUGGACAAUGGGGGAAACCCUGAUCCAGCCAUCCCGCGUGUAUGAGAAGGCCUUCGGGUUGUAAAGUACUUUUGGCAGAGAAGCGGUAUCUGCAGAAUAAGCACCGGCUAACUACGUGCCAGCCGCCGCGGUAAUAC